GAUGUGAAUCCUGCUGGAUCCAGGGAUGUGAAUCCUGCUGGAUCCCGGGCUGGCCCCGGGUUCUCAGAUGUGCCAGACCCACAGGAGAGGCCGAAGGUUCCAGGGCCCCUUCUGGGUGUUAGGAAGAGAUAAAACAGAGAAAACCCGACUUGUUCCAUUCUCGGGGGUGUCUGGGCACGCAGGGAGAGCUGGAGGUGCCUCAGCUCCGCAGGGGGCUGAGGAUGAUGAGGAUUGGGGAGCACAGACAGGCCCAGGCUGCUCCAGGGCCCUUGGAUCCCUGCCUGCACCCCAGUUUGGGGAUGGAGGUGGAGGCGUGGCAAACAAAUCCUUGACGGGGCAAACAGCUCCCUGAGGUGGCAAACAAGUCCUUGAGGGGGCAAACAGCUCCCUGAGGUGGCAAAAAAAUCUCUGAGGGGACAGACAAAUCUCUGAGGGGACAAACAAAUCCUUGAGGGGGCAAAUAAAUCUCUGAGGUGACAAUAGGGCCUUGAGGUGGCAAAAAGGCCCUGAGGUGGCAAACAAAUCCCUGAGAUGGCAAGCAGAUCUCUGAGGGGGCAAACAGGUCCCUGAGGUGGCAAAUAAAUCACUCAGGUGGCAAAGAGGUCCCUUAGAGGGCAGAAAAAUCCCUGAGGUGGCAGAUAGGGCUCUGAGGUGACAAACAAAUCCCUCAGGCGGCAAACAGGUCCCUGAUGUGGCAAACAAAUCUCUGAGGGGGCAGAUACGGCCCUGAGGCGGCAAACAAAUCCUUGAGGUGGCAAACAAAUCCCCGAGGUGGCAAAGCACAGCCCCUGGCCCUGCGGGGACCUCGGCGCUGUCCCCACCCUGCCGGGGGCGACACGGAGGUGCCACCAGCGCUGUCACCAGGGCUGGCCCGUGCCCAUCCAGGAGCCCAGCCCGCUGCUCUGGGUGCGCUUCUGGGUCAGGAUGUUUUUAUAUCCCAGGAAAACUGAAUUUCCCAGGGCAGCUGGCGUCCCCGUGGUGCCACCCACCCAGGGCAGCUGGUGUCCCCAUGUCACCUGCCCGUGGGGACAGGACCGGGGCAGCUCUGGCUCUGUGGUCCAUGGUUGCCAUAGUGAUUCCUGCACUUUUCCCAGAUUUCAGGGCGGCUUUCCCCAGUUUCAGAGCAGUUUUCCCAGAUUUCAGGGCGGCUUUCCCCAGUUUCAGAGCAGUUUUCCCGGGGGGGGGGGGGGGGGGGGGGGGGGGGGGGGGGGGGGGGGGGGGGGGGGGGGGGGGGGGGGGGGGGGGGGGGGGGGGGGGGGGGGGG
rnacentral:lncRNA from 1 species